rnacentral:rRNA from 1 species
UACGUAGGGGGCAAGCGUUGUCCGGAUUUAUUGGGCGUAAAGAGCGUGUAGGCGGUUCGGUAGGUCCGUUGUGAAAACUCGAGGCUCAACCUCGAGACGCCGAUGGAAACCAUCGAACUAGAGUCCGGAAGAGGAGAGUGGAAUUCCUGGUGUAGCGGUGAAAUGCGCAGAUAUCAGGAAGAACACCCGUGGCUAAGGCGGCUCUCUAGUACGGUACUGACGCUGAGACGCGAAAGCGUGGGGAGCAAACAGG